CGGCGACCAUAUCUGGAAGGCCAUACCUGUUCCCAUCCCGAACACAGAAGUCAAGCUUCCAGAGCCGAUGAUAGUGCCCACCAGUGCGAAAGUAGGUAUCG
rnacentral:rRNA from 1 species